AAGACUAUAGACCUGCGGAGUACCUGCGGAAGGAUCAUUACCGAGUGCGGGCCCUCUGGGUCCAACCUCCCACCCGUGUUUAUUGUACCUUGUUGCUUCGGCGGGCCCGCCAUUCUGGCCGCCGGGGGGCUUGCCCCCGGGCCCGCGCCCGCCGAAGACACCCUCGAACUCUGUCUGAAGAUUGUAGUCUGAGUGGAGUUAUAAAUUAUUAAAACUUUUAACAACGGAUCUCUAGAUCGG
rnacentral:misc_RNA from 1 species